rnacentral:pre_miRNA from 1 species
AAAAAAACAAACCCUGGGUUUCCGUGUCCAACGUUUGACCGUCCGUCUUAUUUAAAAAAAUUAUGAAAAAAAUUAAAAAGACAAGUCUCACGCAUAAAGUAUUAAUCAUGUUUUAUCAUCUAACAACAAUGAAAAUACUAAUUAUAAAAAAAAUUUCAUAUAAGACGGAUAGUCAAAGUUGGACACGGAAACCCAGGGUUUGUCUUUUU